UGCCAGCCGCCGCGGUAAUACGGAGGGUGCGAGCGUUAAUCGGAAUUACUGGGCGUAAAGCGCGCGCAGGCGGUUUGGUCAGUCGGAUGUGAAAGCCCCGGGCUUAACCUGGGAAUUGCAUUCGAUACUGCCAAGCUAGAGUAUGGGAGAGGGAAGCGGAAUUUCCGGUGUAGCGGUGAAAUGCGUAGAUAUCGGAAGGAACACCAGUGGCGAAGGCGGCUUCCUGGCCCAAUACUGACGCUCAGGUGCGAGAGCGUGGGGAGCGAACAGGAUUAGAUA
rnacentral:rRNA from 1 species